rnacentral:lncRNA from 1 species
CCCGCAAACCCAAACAACCUGGUGAACACGAAGAACCCAGUGAAUCGGAAGAGCCUGAGGAAUUCGAAUAUCCUGGCGUACCAGAACUUUCCCGUAAACCAAAACAUAAGUACAAACAUCCUGACGAAUCUGAAGAGUUUGAAGAAGAAUAUCCUGGCAAGCCCAAAUAUCCCCAUAAAGCCAAACAUCGUCACAAGCCCAAACAUCCUCGUGAAUCUGAAGAAACUGUGUAUCCUGGCAAACCCAAAUAUCCCCGUAAACCUAAAUAUCACGGUAAACAUCCUGGUGAAUCUGAAGAGUCUGAAGAACUUGAAUAUCCUGGCAAACCCAAAGUUCCCCAUAAACCCAAACAUCCCCGUGAAUCUGAAGAACUUACGUAUCCUGGCAAACCAAAAUAUCCCCAUAAACCCAAACAUCCUGGUGAAUCUGAAGAACGUACGUAUCCUGGCAAACCAAAAUAUCCCCAUAAACCCAAACAUCCUGGUAAGCACAAAUAUCCCAGCGAAUCUGAAGAGUCUGAGGAGCUUGAAGAUCUUGGCUAUCUCAAAUAUUUUGGUUAUCACAAACAUCCUGAAAAACAUAGACAUCCCAGUAAACGCAAACAUCUCCAUAAAUCCAAACGUCCCAGCAAAUCCAAAGAGAUUUCAGAACUUGACGAGACAGAAUAUCCCAAUAAACCACAAUAUUACGGUAAAUAUGAACAUCCCCACAAACACAAAUAUCCCAGCAAAUUAAAACAUCCUAGCAAGCACAAACAUCCUAGCAGACACAGACAUCUCAGGAAAUUUAAAAAUAUCAUAAAACAUCCCAAUGAAUCUGAAUAUCCUGAAUAUCCCAGCAAACUCAAACACAUUGGCAAACACAAACAUCUCAAACACCCUAAAGUGUUUACAGAGUUAGAGUAUGAAUACCAUGGCAAACACAAACAUCCCAAAAAGUCCAAAAUAUUGACAGGGUUUGAAAAGUACAAAACUUAUAUAUAUCAUGGAAAACACAAACAUCCCAAACACCCAAAAAGGUUGACAGGGUUUGAAAAGUACAAAACGUAUAUUUAUCAUGGAAAACACAAACAUCCCAAACACCCAAAAGCGUUGACAGGGUUUGAAAAGUACAAAACGUAUAUUUAUCAUGGAAAACACAAACAUCCCAAACACCCAAAAGCGUUGACAGGGUUUGAAAAGUACGAAGAGUAUGAACACCAUGGCAAACACCAACACCAUGGAGGAACCAAACAUCCCGGUGAAUUUGGGCAUUACAGAAAAGUUAAAUAUCCUGGCAAACCCAAAUAUCAUGGCAAAGCUGGCCGUCCCUCUUGGCAUCUACAUUACCUUGGAUUGUCCGGUGGAACUACACGGCCUCACACACACUUUGGUAUUGAUGAAUGCUGCUGCAGUCCUAAAUAUUGUAACAGAGGUAAAUGCCUAAAUAUAUCUAAGCAUCGUAGAACAAAUCCCAGCAAAGAAGAGAAUGCUGCUCCAAAAGCACCACCUAUUUACUCAACGGCAAUCUGCGAGAGGCAGAGCGGGAUGCUGAAUUGUUCUGCAGGGAAAACAAUCCAGGUGCAAUCAGCCACUUAUGGUCGCCAAAGUAAAGCUUUUUGUUGGACCAGUAAAAUGGAGGGUAAAAAUCACAGCUUGACCUGUGAAAAAGACAUCACAAGCAUUAUAGCACAAAGUUGUAACAAGAAAUCAGAAUGUAAAAUUCAGGCAUCCAGCAAACUGGCUGGAGACCCCUGUGUCGGCACCUAUAAAUACCUGUCUGCUCAUUACCUAUGUGUCUGAUGGAGCCCAGUCAUGUUGCUCCAACAGGAAGAAAAGUUCUUUCUACACAUUUCUCUUUUUUCUGUCUCAACUUCACAUGACAUACUAAUUGAAACUGUCAAUCCAAAUUGAAAAAAAAGACAAAGUUCAGCUAAAAAUGUGACUAAAGCAAAUAAAUCCAGCAAAGUAAAUCUUACUGUUACAGUUGUAGCUUUGAACAUUAACAAAAAGAAAAAAAGACAAAAAACACAUUCCACAUAGCAUCCGUAUGUCAUGUUAAUCGCUCAAUAACGGGCAAAUAAAGAUUUAUUAUUAGCACAUUAGUACAUUAGUGAUUAUUUCUCUUCUUUCCUUUCUAAACCACGGAGAAGCAGUGGAACCAGCAGCAACAAACCAGAAACAAAUAUCUGCAAAUAAAGACAUAAAAUGCUAUUAUUUGUCUUCUUAUUCUUUUUGUUCUAAUGAGUGUUAUCCAUCCAUCCAUCCAUCUUCUAUACCCGCUUUUCCUGGUUCAGGGUCACGGGGAUCUGCUGGAGCCUAUCCCAGCUCUCUCUCGGGUGGAAGGCAGGGGUACACCCUGG